CCCACCGGCCACCGCUCUCGUCCAAACCCCGCGCCGCCAGCUUCUCCCUCCCCGCCAUCUUGGACGGCGAGAAGCACAAUGCCAGGGCGUCAAAGCCGCACCCGACCCUUGCCCUCCGGCCCGCCCAAGUGGUGCCCGCGCGUGAUGCGGGACCCCGAGCCCGACUCCGCCGCGGCAGAUCGCGGUCCUCCGGCCACCGCAGACGACGGGCCUCGCGCUUCGACCCAGGUUGGAUCUAUCCCUUUGGCGGCGGCGGAUGAUGCUCCCCAGCACCGCUCGCCGUCCCUCCGUAACCCGCAUCGUCUUCACCAAUUAGCGGCACCAGGUCCCGCCGGUAGGAGGAGGACCAACGGCGCGCCCGGGCCUACCUCUCCGCUUCCUUCGUCGGGCGUCAGCGUCACAACCGUGCCGGGUUUGCGGCAACCGGCUCCGGCUGCCACUGCCGCGGCCCACAGCCACAGGCGCACGCCGCGGACGACGCCAUCUCCUGCGCGAGCGGACACCCCAUCUCCCCCGCCCGGUAGCCGCCCCUCCUCGUCUGCUUCCUCAUCUCGCAUGUCAUGGACUUCAAGCGGGAGUUCGGCUAGGAGCUUUGCAGAUGUCGUCAAAGGCCCAGCCAAUCACGACCCUUGGGCCAAACUUUCAUCACGACUUCUCAGUUUUCUAAAAAGCGAAGUAACUUGCACCAUCUACUCAGAAAUGUCUGCCUACAACAAGGGAUCAAUCAUCUCGAUGAGGGACGCAGCAAGUUUCAAUCUUAAGAUGGCCUUGAAGCACCUUUGCGAAUAUGAUAGGGAACUAGCCUAUGCCAUUCGUAAUUGUCAGGAUAGAUUCGAUGAAUGGUUGUCUCCAACUCUAUCCCAGUUCCUAAUCAGCGAAGGGAUUGUGAAGAAUGCAGUUCUAAUAACGAGUGUUACUUUCUAUAAAAUGCCCGAUAGCAUCAAACCUCUUUCAGAUUUCUUAGCAGAGCAUGGGUCAUUGACCACCAUUAAGCCAAUCUUUGGUGGGAGUUUCGAACUGUGCGUUGCACAUGACAAUGUUAUAAUGUUAGUCCAUGGCUUUCUGGUAGAGAUCUUUAAUAGCCACUCAGAAGGUUUUACCUGGAAUGGAAGAUUUAGCAUAACUGACAUGGUGAUGGUUAACCACACAAAGUGUAGGAUUACUAAGAUGCCAGUGCGAGGUGAAUACUGCAGAGCAGAGGACCUGCGCCAAUUUGGAAUGAUUUUCAUGCAAAUGUUCAGCUGUAAUAGAGAAAAGCCUUUAUACUUUGUUGAAUUGGAAAAAGAUUUGUGCAUGGCCAGUGAGGAGGAAGUAAAAGAGGAGUGGUUUCGGGAAUACCUCCUCUCACACCCGGCACUGAAACGAUCAAUGACACGCUACCACCUGGAGUGCGGAUUACAGCAUGCUGCAAAAACCUUUGGAGGCCCAGGCACGCUAAUUGAAUCUGUUUUAGGGGUUUCCAGUGACUGGAAGGCAAUUAUCCCAACUAAAUCAACCAGAAGCACACCUACAAACAGCUUGUAUAGGGUUUUCUGGUACAAUGGUGAGCAUAUUAAGGAUCCUUUUCAGGCGACAGUUGGGGGUCUGCUUGCAUACAAAAGAAAUUAUCUGCAACACGGUCAUGAAUAUGUCAAGGUUGAGGACCACACUGAGUUAGAGCUAUUUGCAGCAAAAACCUUUUCCCAAGCUCUACCUAACAUUCUACGGAGGCUAUUGAAAUACUGCAAUAUUCACAUGAAUGGACCGCUCGCGGUGCACUGGGACACUUAUCGCACCUCAACAGUUGGCAAUGACGGUAAUACUGAAGAGAGAAGUGGUAUCUGCAUUACAUUUUGUGAAGAGGGGUCUCCAGCGGACAAUUCUGAGGGCUGUUUGGGAUGGAAGGGACCCAGUUUGGAGAGGACACCCUUCCAUCCCAGCAAGGAUUAAAGAAGGGCUGGCAGAGGAUCAUUAGAACCUGGAGCUGGCGUGCGUUAUGCAAGCACCAAAUCUCUUAAAGAUUUCAUACGGAAACGGACACUGGCCAGUUACAAGUCAAUCUUUGGUGGUAAUUUUAAACUAUGCAUCGCGCUUGACACCAGCAUGAUGUUGUUCCAUGGCUUUCUGGUUCAGAUCUUUAAUAGACAUUUUAAAAAAUCUUACUUGGAAUGGAGAAUUUGACUUAAGUGAUAUGGUGGUGGAUAACUCCACGGAGUGCCUGAUUACUAAGGAGCCAAUGAGAGAUGAAUCUCACUGUAUAGCAGGAGACCUGCGCAAAAUUGCAGAUAUUUUCAUGCCAAUGUUCAAUUCUGGUGGAGAAAUGGCAUUGUACUUUGAUGUACUGCAAAAAGAUUUGAGCAAUGCUAGCGAGAAUGAAGUGAAAGAGAAACAGUUUCGGGAAUACAUCCUCUCACACCCCGCUCUGAAGGGAUCUGGUUUGUGGAUUGCAGUGUGCUGUGGAAAUUGGAGUUGAAGGCAGGCUAAUACGAUCAGUUUUAGAUGGAUGCAGUUACAGUGACUGGACGGCACUUAUCCCAACUGAACUUACCAAAAACAAACUUGUCGAAGAUAGCUUGCAUGAGGUUUUCUGGUUCAAGCACAAGUAUGAAGGUGUUGACAACCCUUACAGGAAUACACUUGGGGGGCUACUUGCAUACAUAAGAAAUUUCCUGCAACAUGGCCAUUAGUACGAGUAUCUCAGGGUUGGGGGGCUCGCUGAGCUAGAGCAAUUUGCAGCAAAAACCUUUCCCCGAGCUGUACCGGACAUUUUGAGUAAGCUAUUGAGGCACCGUAAAAUGCAUGAGAAUAAACUAUUUAUGGAGCCGUGGACACCUUAUCACGCCUCAAGAGUUGGCAACAAUGAUAAUACCAAAGGGAGAACUGACAUCUUUAUUUGAUUUAGUGAAGAGGGCAGGGUUUCUGGUGGACAAGGUCUGGUUGUUUUGGAUGGAAGGACUGAAGAAGAUCCUAGUUGAGGGGAUCUUGAGGCCAGCACUAAAGAGAGGUUGGCACAGGUUGAUUGGAAUGCUAUGAGGUGUGGUAAGUUAUGGGCAACUCUUUUUCUUGGUGAAGGUGGUUAUGUCUGACAGUCCAGAAUUUUUGUAGUCAAUGGUCUCUGAAGAGACGGGAGUUUUUGUUCUGUCUUUUCAGUGGUGUAGUAUAGCAGCUGGAUCGUCGUGUAUACGUACCGGCAAUGUAAAUAUUCUUCUUGUUAUGGUGUAAUCGUGUAAGUAAUAUGCUGUAUAGUACAUAUGAAAAAUUUAUGCUUGAACGGUAGAUACAGAAUUCAUUUUCUGUCAUGUUCUGAAAAUUUUGGUUGGAUUGGUUGGUUCCA